rnacentral:tRNA from 1 species
GCCAGAAUGGCGAAAUUGGCAGACGCGACGGACUUAGGAUCCGUUGACCCAAAGGUCAUGCGGGUUCGAGUCCCGCUUCUGGCA